rnacentral:rRNA from 1 species
CUAAACUGAGGGAGGUACGUCGAAACUGACCGGCUAGAGGGACGUAGAGGUAAGCGGAACUCUCGGAGUAGCGGUGAAAUGCGUAGAGACCGAGAGGUACCCCGAUGGUGAAGACAGCUUACUGGGCGUCUCCUGACGCUGAAGCGCUAAGGCCAGGGGAGCGAAGGGGAUUAGAUACCCCCGUAGUCCUGGCUUCAAACGAUGUGGGCUUGGUGUCGGCCCCCUAUAGAGGGUCGUUGCCGGAGUUAACGCGUUAAGCCCACCGCCUGGGGAUUACGUCCGCAAGGAUGAAACUCAAGGGAAUUGACGGGGGCCCACACAACCGGUGGAGCACGUGGUUUAAUUCGAUGGUAAGCGAAGAACCUUACCAGGGCUUGACCUAGCGGUAGUAGAACCCCGAAAGGGGAACGACCUCAAGCUUUGCUUGAGGAGCC